GCGGUUGUAGUCUAGCGGUUAGGACUUGUCCCUGCCACGGACAGAACCCGGGUUCAAAUCCCGGCAACCGCA
rnacentral:tRNA from 1 species